AAGUCUUGACAUCCCCCUGACCGGUUCGUAACGGGAUCUUUCCUUCGGGACAGGGGAGACAGGUGGUGCAUGGUUGUCGUCAGCUCGUGUCGUGAGAUGUUGGGUUAAGUCCCGCAACGAGCGCAACCCCUAUCCCCAGUAGCCAGCAGGUAGAGCUGGGCACUCUGAGGAGACUGCCAGGGAUAACCUGGAGGAAGGCGGGGAUGACGUCAAAUCAUCAUGCCCCUUAUGAUUUGGGCUACACACGUGCUACAAUGGCGUAAACAAAGGGAAGCGAGAGGGCGACCUGGAGCAAAUCCCAAAAAUAACGUCCCAGUUCGGACUGUAGUCUGCAACCCGACUACACGAAGCUGGAAUCGCUAGUAAUCGCGGAUCAGAAUGCCGCGGUGAAUACGUUCCCGGGUC
rnacentral:rRNA from 1 species